UACGUAGGUGGCAAGCGUUGUCCGGAUUUACUGGGCGUAAAGCGUAUGCAGGCGGAAGGUUAAGUAGGAAGUGAAAGGGUGGAGCUCAACUCCGCCACUGCUCCCUAUACUGGCCUUCUUGAGUGCCGGAGAGGAAGAUGGAACUCCACAUGUAGCGGUGAAAUGCGUUGAGAUGUGGAGGAACACCAAUGGCGAAAGCAAUCUUCUGGACGGAAACUGACGCUGAGAUACGAAAGCCAAGGGAGCGAACAGG
rnacentral:rRNA from 1 species